UACCUUAGGCAGCAACCAUUUGAUUUUCUGGGGGGGGCUAUGGUUUUUUUUUCUGUACAAACUUUUUUUUUCGCCUGCGGCGAAAAACAAUCUAUUUUUUUUGCGACAAGUCGAAAACAAUUUUUUUCUUUCAAUUUUAGCAUUACAUAUAGUGGCAGCUGAGGGUGAAACAAACAAUUUUUUUUUCUCAGAAUCAAAAACAAAUUAUUUUUCUCUCCAAAAACUGGAAACAAACUUUUUUUUCCAAAAAAAACCAUAGCCCCCCCC
rnacentral:lncRNA from 1 species